AACGAACGCUGGCGGCAGGCUUAACACAUGCAAGUCGAACACAUCCUUCGGGGUGAGUGGCAGACGGGUGAGUAACGCGUGGGAACGUGCCCUUCAGUUCGGGAUAACCCAGGGAAACUUGGGCUAAUACCGGAUACGUGCGAGAGCAGAAAGAUUUAUCGCUGAAGGAUCGGCCCGCGUCUGAUUAGCUAGUUGGUGGGGUAAUGGCCCACCAAGGCGACGAUCAGUAGCUGGUCUGAGAGGAUGAUCAGCCACAUUGGGACUGAGACACGGCCCGAACUCCUACGGGAGGCAGCAGUGGGGAAUAUUGGACAAUGGGCGCAAGCCUGAUCCAGCCAUGCCGCGUGAGUGAUGAAGGCCUUAGGGUUGUAAAGCUCUUUCGUCCGGGACGAUAAUGACGGUACCGGAAGAAGAAGCCCCGGCUAACUUCGUGCCAGCCGCCGCGGUAA
rnacentral:rRNA from 1 species